GAGUUUGAUCAUGGCUCAGAACGAACGCUGGCGGCAGGCCUAACACAUGCAAGUCGAGCGAGACCUUCGGGUCUAGCGGCGGUCGGGUUAGUAACGCGUGGGAACGUGCCCUUCUCUGCGGAAUAGCCACUGGAAACGGUGAGUAAUACCGCAUACGCCCUUCGGGGGAAAGAUUUAUCGGAGAAGGAUCGGCCCGCGUUAGAUUAGAUAGUUGGUGGGGUAACGGCCUACCAAGUCUACGAUCUAUAGCUGGUUUUAGAAGAUGAUCAGCAACACUGGGACUGAGACACGGCCCAGACUCCUACGGGAGGCAGCAGUGGGGAAUCUUAGACAAUGGGCGCAAGCCUGAUCUAGCCAUGCCGCGUGUGUGAUGAAGGUCUUAGGAUCGUAAAGCACUUUCGCCAGGGAUGAUAAUGACAGUACCUGGUAAAGAAACCCCGGCUAACUCCGUGCCAGCAGCCGCGGUAAUACGGAGGGGGUUAGCGUUGUUCGGAAUUACUGGGCGUAAAGCGCGCGUAGGCGGAUUGGAAAGUUGGGGGUGAAAUCCCGGGGCUCAACC
rnacentral:rRNA from 1 species